CAUCCUCCAAGGCUAAAUACUCCUGACUGACCGAUAGUGAACCAGUACCGUGAGGGAAAGGCGAAAAGAACCCCGGCGAGGGGAGUGAAAAAGAACCUGAAACCGUGUACGUACAAGCAGUGGGAGCACAGGUUUACCUGUGUGACUGCGUACCUUUUGUAUAAUGGGUCAGCGACUUAUAUUCUGUAGCAAGGUUAACCGUAUAGGGGAGCCGGAGGGAAACCGAGUCUUAAUUGGGCGUUAAGUUGCAGGGUAUAGACCCGAAACCCGGUGAUCUAGCCAUGGGCAGGUUGAAGGUUGGGUAACACUAACUGGAGGACCGAACCGACUAAUGUUGAAAAAUUAGCGGAUGACCUGUGGCU
rnacentral:rRNA from 8 species